rnacentral:lncRNA from 1 species
AUGGCUUAUGCUUUAUUUUUAUUGAGUAUUCUUUUGGUUAUAGGGUUUGUAGGUUUUUCUUCAAAAUCUUCUCCUCUUUGUGGAGGCCUGGGGCUAAUUGUUGGUGGUGCUGUGGACUGUGGCAUCGUGUUGAAUCUUGGUAGAGCUUUUGUGGGUUUAAUAGUCUUUUUGAUUUAUUUGGGUGGUAUGAUGGUUGUUUUUGGUUAUACUGCGGCAAUGGCUAUUGAGGAGUAUCCUGAAACAUGAGGGUCAAGUAUUGACAUUUGAGGGGCUUUAUUAUUAGGGUUAUUAAUAGAGUUGCUGUUGGUUUGGUGAAUAGUUGAGUGCGAUGGGGUAGGGAUCACCAUUGAUUUUAAAAGCAUAGGGAGCUGAAUAAAUUUUGAGGGUGAGGGGGCAGGGUUGUUGCAUGAGGAUUCUGUGGGUGUGGCUGCCUUAUAUAGUUACGGGUGUUGAUUAGUGGUAGUUGCUGGUUGAUCACUGUUUGUUAGUAUUUAUGUUGCAAUUGAAAUUGCUCGGGGU